GGUCCAUUAGUAUAGGGGUCAGUACGUAACCUUCACACGGUUAAGACGCCGGUUCGAGUCCGGCAUAGACCA
rnacentral:tRNA from 1 species